rfam:Canis familiaris mitochondrion, complete genome.
AAACAUAAAGGUUUGGUCCUAGCCUUCCUAUUAGUUUUUAGUAGACUUACACAUGCAAGCCUCCACGCCCCAGUGAGAAUGCCCUUAAAAUCACCAGUGAUCUAAAGGAGCAGGUAUCAAGCACACUCUUAAGUAGCUCAUAACACCUUGCUAAGCCACACCCCCACGGGAUACAGCAGUGAUAAAAAUUAAGCCAUAAACGAAAGUUUGACUAAGCCAUACUAAAUAGGGUUGGUAAAUUUCGUGCCAGCCACCGCGGUCAUACGAUUAACCCAAACUAAUAGGCCUACGGCGUAAAGCGUGUUCAAGAUACUUUUACACUAAAGUUAAAACUUAACUAAGCCGUAAAAAGCUACAGUUAUCAUAAAAUAAACCACGAAAGUGACUUUAUAAUAAUCUGACUACACGAUAGCUAAGACCCAAACUGGGAUUAGAUACCCCACUAUGCUUAGCCCUAAACAUAGAUAAUUUUACAACAAAAUAAUUCGCCAGAGGACUACUAGCAAUAGCUUAAAACUCAAAGGACUUGGCGGUGCUUUAUAUCCCUCUAGAGGAGCCUGUUCUAUAAUCGAUAAACCCCGAUAAACCUCACCACCUUUCGCUAAUUCAGUCUAUAUACCGCCAUCUUCAGCAAACCCUCAAAAGGUAGAACAGUAAGCACAAUCAUUUUACAUAAAAAAGUUAGGUCAAGGUGUAACUUAUGAGGUGGGAAGAAAUGGGCUACAUUUUCUACCCAAGAACAUUUCACGAAUGUUUUUAUGAAAUUAAAAACUGAAGGAGGAUUUAGUAGUAAAUUAAGAAUAGAGAGCUUAAUUGAAUAGGGCCAUGAAGCACGCACACACCGCCCGUCACCCUCCUCAAGUAAUAAGACACAACCAUAACCAUAUUAACUUAACUAAAACACAAGAGGAGACAAGUCGUAACAAGGUAAGCAUACCGGAAGGUGUGCUUGGAUUAAUCAAAGU